AACAAACGCUGGCGGCGUGCCUAAUACAUGCAAGUCGAACGGGGUAGCAAUACCUAGUGGCGCACGGGUGAGUAACGCGUGGAUAAUCUGCCUUAGAGUGGGGGAUAACUAGUCGAAAGAUUAGCUAAUACCGCAUAAGACCACAAGAACUGCGGUUCAAGGGGUCAAAGGUUUUUCGCUCUAAGAUGAGUCCGCGUAAGAUUAGCUAGUUGGUGAGGUAAUGGCUCACCAAGGCGACGAUCUUUAACUGGUCUGAGAGGAUGAUCAGUCACACUGGAACUGAGACACGGUCCAGACUCCUACGGGAGGCAGCAGUAGGGAAUAUUGCACAAUGGAGGAAACUCUGAUGCAGCGACGCCGCGUGAGUGAUGAAGGCCUUCGGGUCGUAAAGCUCUGUCGCAGGGGAAUAACACAAUGAAUGUACCCUGUAAGAAAGGAUCGGCUAACUUCGUGCCAGCAGCCGCCGUAACAC
rnacentral:rRNA from 1 species